rnacentral:rRNA from 1 species
CUAAUACGUGCGAAGCGCCGAAGCCGCGAGGCGACGGCGUUCUCGCCGGAUGUAGGAACCGACCCCGGGGACCGCCGGGGGCAACCCCGGCGCCCCCGAGACGGGGCGAACCACGGUGAAAUGACGGAUCGUCGGCCCCGCGCCGGCGACUCGCCGAAUGAGUUUCUGACCUAUCAACUCGAGACGGCGGGGUAGAGGCCCGCCGCGGUAACGACGGGUAACGGGGAAUCAGGGUUCGAUUCCGGAGAGGGAGCCCCGAGAAACGGCUACCACUUCCAAGGAAGGCAGCAGGCGCGCAACUUACCCCUAAUCUCGAUUCGAGGAGGUAGUGACAAGAAAUACCGAUGCGGGACCCUACGGGUGCCGCGUUCGGAAUGAGUACGAUUCGAACCACCUAACGAGGAACGAUCGGAGGGCAAGUCUGGUGCCAGCAGCCGCGGUAAUUCCAGCUCCAAUAGCGUAC